rnacentral:rRNA from 1 species
GUCCACGCCCUAAACGAUGUCAACUAGUUGUUGGGUAUGUAAAUACUUAGUAACGCAGCUAACGCGAGAAGUUGACCUCCUGGGGAGUACGGUCGCAAGAUUAAAACUCAAAGAAAUUGACUGGGACCCGCACAAGCGGUGGAUGAUGUGUAUUAAUUCGAUGCAACGCGAAAACCUUACCUACCCUUGACAUGGAUAGAAUCCUGAAGAGAUUUAGGAGUGCUCGAAAGAGAACUAUUACACAGGUGCUGCAUGGCUGUCGU